GAUGAACGCUGGCGGCGUGCCUAAUACAUGCAAGUCGAGCGAACAGAUGAGGAGCUUGCUCCUCUGACGUUAGCGGCGGACGGGUGAGUAACACGUGGAUAACCUACCUAUAAGACUGGGAUAACUUCGGGAAACCGGAGCUAAUACCGGAUAAUAUAUUGAACCGCAUGGUUCAAUAGUGAAAGACGGUUUUGCUGUCACUUAUAGGUGGAUCCGCGCCGCAUUAGCUAGUUGGUAAGGUAACGGCUUACCAAGGCAACGAUGCGUAGCCGACCUGAGAGGGUGAUCGGCCACACUGGAACUGAGACACGGUCCAGACUCCUACGGGAGGCAGCAGUAGGGAAUCUUCCGCAAUGGGCGAAAGCCUGACGGAGCAACGCCGCGUGAGUGAUGAAGGUCUUCGGAUCUUAAAACUCUGUUAUUAGGGAAGAACAAAUGUGUAAGUAACUAUGCACGUCUUGACGGUACCUAAUCAGAAAGCCACGGCUAACUACGUG
rnacentral:rRNA from 1 species